UACGAGGGGGGCGAGCGUUGUUCGGAAUUAUUGGGCGUAAAGGGUGCGUAGGCGGUUUUGUAAGUCUUAUGUGAAAUCUAUGGGCUCAACUCAUAGACUGCAUGAGAAACUGCAGGGCUUGAGUAUGGGAGAGGUGAGUGGAAUUCCUGGUGUAGCGGUGAAAUGCGUAGAUAUCAAGAGGAACACCAGUGGCGAAGGCGAGUCCCUGGACAACACCUGACACUGAGGCACGAAAGCUAGGGGAGCAAACAGG
rnacentral:rRNA from 1 species